rnacentral:lncRNA from 1 species
GGGGAAAUGGGCGAUAUAUAUAUUUUUGGCUGUUCUUGCUAUAGCGGCAUUAAUAAUUGUUUUUUUUUUCGAGAGUUUACCGGCGUUGCCUCCCGAUUUCAAAAGAAGUUGACGAGGCAACAACAUCACCACCAAAUCAGGCGGUGCAAGCACCUGAGGGAGGGCUCUAGUUAGAUUGUACCAUUUAUUUAUUUUUUUGAAAGAAAGAAAUUGUAGCAUGUUUUAUGAAUAAUAAUAAUGUUUUCAUUAAGU